CGUGUAAUCGAAGUGGAUAUUCGCUCGCGUUUCGGGUGAAAGUACAAGGGCCGGUGUGGGGUGCCCGAUGGAUAUAAUCAUACGGUUGUGUUUUACGGUGGUACCGUUUCUAUGGUGAAUGCUGCAAGUGCGGCGGUAAACUUUGCGGAGUAUAAUUUAACCUAAACGCCGGCCGAUCCGUUCGCCGUGCCUCCCCCUCACGGGUUGUCGUUGGUCGUUACUCAUUUUUAAUCAUAUUAAAUAAACACGUGCACACCGUGGCGACAGGCUUCGCCAAUCUAGUUUGUCUAAUAGGAUCAUUUACGGUCGCCUGCCCGGAUCCCCAAGUCCAACUCUCCCGGAUAUAAACGACGAGUGUCGCGGGCGCGGCGCGAGUCGAGGAGGGCUGGUCCGUUGCAGCAGACGAUCUGCGAUCUGCGUCGUCUGUACCUUAGAGUUACCACACCCAGCGAGCGGGCGAGCGAGCGAGUGAGCGAGCGAGUGACCAAGUGAGCGAGUGACCAAGUGAGCAAGUAAGCUCGGAAUCCCAGUAAGCUCUCGAGUUGAGCGGGCGAGCUAGCUUGAUAGAUAGCUAGCUAGCUAGCUGGCUGGCAGGUACCGAGGAACGAGGUAACCAACGAGCGACAGGCAACCAGGCGACCCAGAGGAGGCGCGAGCCUUGCGGAGCGGUGUGAAGUGAAGUGGAGUGCGGUGUGGUGUGGAUCGUAGCGAAGUGAAGCGGAGCGAGAAUAAGGAAGGGGCGAAAAAGUGGCGUAGAGACAGACAGACGGGGUGAUCGAGAGAAUCCGAUCCUAACGGGGGCCCGAGUUGCACGGAACCUGACAGAGAGAUCCGCGGGACGGACGGGGUCGGGCACGGGCGAUUUUAGCGUUUGACAAAACUGGUGCUGCAGCCGUAGCCUGGAUUCGGCGAUAAAGGUGUGGGUGGGUGCGUGCGUGCGGAUCGACCCUGUGUGCCGGUGGUGUUGCUGCGGCGUGUGCGAUUCCACCUUUAGCAUUUCAGAGAUUUCUUGUUUGAAACUCCACAGCGUAGCCUAGCAGCGGCCCGAUCCUAAGAAACUCGCCCCGCUGCUCGUCUACCGCUAGGUGGGAACGUGAGACCUGCCUACCCAUCUACACGUUAACUAUUUUUUUCGUGUGUUGAUGCGCCGUAGACGGCACUUGGCAAAAUUGCUGCCCCGCGCGUGAGGGUGCCGACUGCCCGUUCACCGUUACCGCGAACCUGUCGCCUUGAGUACCGAUAAGGAGGAAAAGGGAGCGGAAGAAACUCUAGAAGAAGGAAACGACGGAGACGAAGAAGAAGAAAAUAACAAUAGGAAUAUAAAGGAAUUUAAAAAAAGACGGCACCAGAAGAGGAGGAUCAUCACCGCAGUCACGGUGGCUCGGGUUCCCCGCUGCAACGCCGUAGCUGCCGUCAGCACCACCAAAUCUGCCACCUCCACUGCCGCCGCUGCUGCUGCUGCUACCGUUGCCAUCAAGAGCAAGUGCAAGAGCAACGCCACCUCCACCGACGGCAAAAGAUAAUAUCGGCUGAGCCGAGCUGAGCUCUGAGCCGAGCCUACCACUCGGACCGACCCACAAUUCCCUCUCUCCCUCCUCCCUCCGAGGAUUUUGCCCUGAAACAUGGCGUGCUGCCUGUCGGAAGAGGCGAAGGAACAGAAGCGGAUCAACCAGGAGAUCGAAAGGCAACUUCGGAGGGACAAGCGAGAUGCGAGGCGAGAGCUCAAACUGCUGCUCUUGGGUACUGGUGAGUCGGGUAAAUCCACAUUUAUCAAACAGAUGAGGAUCAUCCAUGGUUCAGGCUAUUCGGACGAAGACAAGCGAGGCUUUAUCAAACUGGUCUACCAAAAUAUAUUCAUGGCGAUGCAGUCGAUGAUCCGAGCCAUGGAACUGCUCAAGAUCCAGUAUGCAGAGUCUUCAAAUAUGGAAAAAGCGGAGCUCAUAAGAAGCGUAGACUUUGAAACUGUAACAACGUUUGAAAGCCCAUAUGUAGAAGCGAUAAAAGACUUGUGGGCAGAAGCUGGUAUUCAAGAGUGUUAUGACCGUCGACGAGAAUAUCAGCUGACAGACUCUGCAAAAUAUUAUCUUAGUGAUCUCGAACGUAUAGAAAAGCCCGACUACCUCCCCACCGAGCAAGACAUUCUCCGGGCUCGAGCUCCCACCACUGGAAUAAUUGAGUAUCCCUUCGAUUUGGACUCCAUCAUAUUUAGGAUGGUAGACGUUGGUGGACAGAGAUCUGAAAGAAGAAAAUGGAUUCAUUGUUUCGAGAACGUCACUUCCAUAAUAUUUUUAGUAGCUCUAAGUGAAUACGAUCAAAUUUUAUUUGAAUCUGAAAACGAGAACCGCAUGGAGGAGAGCAAGGCACUGUUCAAAACGAUCAUAACAUAUCCCUGGUUUCAACACUCUUCUGUUAUUCUGUUCCUAAACAAAAAAGAUCUUCUAGAGGAGAAAAUUAUGUACUCGCAUCUCGUUGACUACUUUCCAGAGUAUGAUGGGCCUAAGCAGGAUCACGUACCAGCCAGAGAAUUCAUCUUAAAGGUGUACCUCAGUUCUAAUCCAGACCCUGACCGCAUGUGCUACUCUCACUUCACUGCAGCAACAGAUACGGAGAAUAUCAAGCUUGUCUUUUGUGCCGUGAAGGAUACAAUUAUGCAAAGUGCUCUGAAAGAGUUUAAUCUAGCUUAAGUCGAUCAUUUUUUCUCAUUCUCACAUAUUUCAACAUCUUAUGCGUACGAUGGAGUUGGAAAAUUUGAAUUAUAGAUACUCAUUCAAAACAUGUGUAGCCUGUACGAGGGAUAUUUUAACAAAGAAUCUAUGGAAAAAUUAAAUCAACUAUGGUUAAGUUGUUCAAGUCAUCAAAUAUCUGGGUUCGCAUUUCUGCAUCAUUGUUUGUAUUUUAUUUUUCCUCCCCACUAGAGGUACAUACAUAUUACAAUUUCCUUUGUUUCACUCUAAGAUGAGAAUAAAGGUGAUCCUUUAAUUUAGUAUGGGAUCAGAGCGCAAUCGAUGAUUUUGUUGAGCAGCUUUUCCAUUUUGUUUUGUAAACUUCAAUAAAGCGGAAAUUCAUUUAUUUAUCAUAAAAAUUGCACAUUAAUUAAGAUGAUGAUCAUAUUAUUUGUAUGGUUCUCAGUUCAUUGUGGGUAUACCGAUAUUGUACAGUGCCGUGAGAAAUAAUGUUGCAAUUAAAUUUUAGAGUAGUCGUCACUACUUUCUGAUAAUUCUACGAAAUGAAAUUUUAUUUUUCUAUCGACCUUCCUGGUCUUCGGUUUAAAUUGAGAACAAUGCUUAGUGUGUAGUCGGGUUGGAUGAAGAAUAUGCAAAUGACAUUCUUAUUUCUCAGAUUUUAUCUAAGAACCGAUUAUAACUUGUACUGCCGCAUAGACGGAUUCGAAUAAUAAUUAAUAACAACAACAACAAUUGAGUGACAAUAAACUUAUGGAAGUGGAAAUGAAGUUUCUUGUUAUAUUAACAUGUUACUUGAUAAAGCACGCUGUCUGUCUACUAAAACUUCUUUAUUUAAAAAACUGCGCUUGCAUGAAACGAGUUUUUACAUUGCAUGCAUCAACUACUUACGGGAUACGGAAAACAUCAGAUUUGUGUUUGCGGCAGUGAAGGACACAAUUCUUCAAUCAAACUUGAAGGAAUACAACCUGGUGUAAAGGAACCCCCCAAAUAGCCAGGGUGGAUAAAUCUGUUUCUGUAUACCCCAGAUGAGAUCAGAGAGAAAAAGGUAUGGACUUUGUUGAGCAAGCGACAAACAAGAUGGAAGAAAACAAAGUACGAGAAAAAGAAAUGCAAGAAUCAAACACUUAUUUCUGGUGUCAUCGGCGCAUUGCUGCUUCAUCAGAAGUGUACCAACCUUAGCUAGAUAAUUAUGCAUGGGGGUUCCAGCGACAAACAAAACAAUAAAAGAAAACAAAACAAACAAACAAGGACCUAAAUCUGAGCGUUAUACGUUCUUUUCUAACUUUUUCACUGUCGAAACCAACAAACUGAUUUAGUUUCAUACUCUUUGUUGAAUUUGUUACCUUUUUAUAGCUUAGUUUAGUUGAUCGAGCCCGGCUGACCGUGACAUCGCCUGAUUUUUAUAUUAAUAAAAGAAACAAAGGAAAAAAAGUAUAUUAUAAAAAUAUUAAAAAUAUAAAGUACUGCGAAUAAAAAAUGGCACAGCUGUGCCAGUUUGUCCGAAUUGUUCGUAAUCAAUUCGUUGAGUCAAGAAAACCUCAGCGACUGAUAGUCGCGCGAAAAAGAGGACAAGUUUUUAUCACGAGUAGUCGGUGACACAAGUGAGAGCAAUUCUAGUGCCAUUUACUAGUGUGGUGUUUUUAUUGCAGUCCUUCGUUAUAUGCAAAACCAAAGUGUUUUUUUAUCUGUGCCAGAAACGACUAAAAGUUUUUUCUGCAUGUGACUCAAAUUCACAAAAUUCAUCAUAUAAAUAUUGUUAUAUAUAAUAUAUAUAAAAAAAAAGAAAAAAAAAUGAAACAUAGAAUAGUGUCAAAGAUACGAAAAAAAAGAAAAGAAACUUUUCCCUUUACAUUGCAAAAUACUAGGAAACGGCAUCUGUUCGAUGUGACUUUAGAUAAUUUGGAGGUGACGGCGGAUAGAAUGCAGGAAUCCUACUCCUGAUUACUCCUGCUGCUCUCUCCUCCGUCGCUGGAGCUCGGAUGUUGGGCGCUGCCAAAUAAGCAGAAAAAAUUCUCUAACACGCCGAAAUUUGAAACGAUACCCAUAAAUUGUAUCGUAUCAUAUAAAGGUGUCGCCCUUACCCGAUGGCAUGGCAUUUGCGCAGCAAGAGACAUGGCACUGCUAAUAUUGCUGAUAUGAUAUCAGAGUCAUGUAACUAGCUCACAUGUAUCCACCUUACAGUGUACGUACGUAUGAACUGCUCACUGCCUGCGCUCGCUCAUGUUGGCUAGCGCACUGCCCGCUGCAAGUAAUCUCUGUUAUUGUAUCGUCGUACCACAUCGUACAAAUGUACAAGUCCAAUUUCUGAUAGUACGUCGUAUAAAUUGUCAUACAAGCCCAGAGAAUACUGGCACAAAUUUUCUGUACAGUGUUUGUGGAUUGAAAUAUAUAAUUCCAGUUUCAUAAGUAAGGCAUUCAGACAUGUGCAGCCUGAAAGUCGUACUUUGACGCUGUUAACACUGCAUUGAUAUAGUCAGGGAGCAGCAUAUGUCAUACCUACUUUCAGUUGAAACACUGAAUUUAUAUGGAAAUAUAUAAAUACAUUGGAUAAAGUAUAAUAUUAAGAAAUAACAACAAAUAAUAUUAAAUAAUACUACAGCUUGGUUUUCAGUGUGCGUAAAAGAGAGAGCAUAAAGAGGGAGAGAUUGAACGAGCGAGCAAGCGGGCGGGUGAGUGAGUAAAUGAGCGAGUGAUUGAGUGACUAAGUGAUGCAAAAAGGGUAAGGAAGAGUGUCGGGGAUAUUGAGUGCAGAGCGGUGAACAUAUAUACUGGUGUGUUGUAUGCAUGCAUUUAACAAGACAGAGUGAGAUGCCCUCGUCUGCUGCCUGACCCAAGUGAGUGAAUGACGCAAUUCGUGGCUAUAGUUCAUUUGUAAAUCAUUUCUUGUCAAAAAGUAUACAUUUUUCUGAAAGCAUAAUAUGUUGGGUAUUCUUUCUGUGUGUAUAAACUGUAAACACUCCCCAAACCCAAAAUGAAAUCAAUGUUUCUAACUUAUUUAUAAUAAAUAAUAUACAUUAAUGAUAAAAAAAAUUGAAAAAAUAAAAAAAAAUAAAGGCAGUUUGUGACAGCA